AUGCUUCUCCUCCUCGCUCACAUUCUUCUCAUCCCGCUCUCCUCAACCAACUCCGUGCGUCUGCUCGACCGAUCCACCGCGAUGUCUAGCUCCGACGUCAGUGCCAUGCCCGCAGCCAACCACGAGGGGCACAGCCUGGCGGGCCCCGCCCCGCCCCCUGCGCCGGUGGUUCACAAGCGCAAGCCCGGGAGACCCCAGGAGAAAAGCCUGCCCCCAGCGGCCACCAGAGAGGAGCUGGAAUCCAGGGAGUCCCUGGAAGGACCCUUGAAGGUGCUUGCGCUCCCGGCGCCAGGGGCCCGGGGUGCUUAUGUUGUCUCAGAUGACAAGAUGGUGUGCCGCGCUCGCGCCCCCACACGGCGUGCAAGCGCGGUAUCCAACGACANNNNNAUGGACAGGAACGAGAUAACGCCGGUGGUUCGCAGGCGCAAGCCCGGGAGACCCCAGGAGAAAAGCCCGCCCCCAGCGGCCAUCAGAGAGGAGCUGGAAUCCCGGGAGUCCCGGGAAGGCCCCUUGAAGGUGCUUGCACUCCCGGCGCCAGGGGCCCCGCGUACUCACGCUGUCUCCGGCGACAAGAUGAUGAGACGCGCUCGCGCCCCCACCCGGCAUGCAAACACUGUCUCCGACGACAAGAUGGUGAGCCGCGCUCGCGCCCCCACCCUGCAUGCAAACCAUGUCUCCGAUGACAAGAUGAUGGACAAGAACGAGAUGGCGCCGGUCCAGGGGGUGCCGCGCAUGCGAGGGAGCAUCGCGUCGUCAAGUGCGGUUGGUGGGGUCGAGAGUGAAGGACUGGGGAGCUUGGAAGUAGGGGAAAUGGCACCUCGAGGGGUUCAGGUCUCCAUGAUCAAUAACCACAAUUUUGAUCUGAAUGAGCUGCCGACUGAGCAUGAGUAG
rnacentral:rRNA from 1 species